CCUCUACAUGGGUCAUAUUUCCCGAUCUCAUUUUAUGCCUUUUUUUUCUUGUUGUUGUUAAAAAUUGGGCAUUUGAAAAAAGCGGACACUUCUCCCCAUCUUUGCAAACUGAUGUGGAAGACUGUUACUACUUAGUGGGCCCACCUAUCCUUGACAUUAGCCUGGGUUGAAGUCUUAAUGUCUUUUCAGAUCCUUUCUGGGUAUGCAUUCUGUCUGGGCCUCUGUGUGUGUGUGUCUGUCCCUGUGUAUUUCCAGGCUUGUUUUAAGUGUCUUAAUUUCCCAAAAUAUCUCACUCUAGCUUUUUCUAGGGGGUUCUAAAUGUUCUGUUGCAUUCCUUGGCCUGUAAUCUCUUCACUCUAGAUGUUCAAUGGUCUGAAGUGCCUCUGUGGUUUUCAUAUACUACAGUAAGUACCACGGCCUUCUAUGAGCUGGAGCUUCCUAAUCCACCCUCUUGCUGACAUCACACUAAAUAUUCACUUUUGUAUCUACUUUUAUAUUUCAAAAUUUGCAUCCCUUUUCAAAAAAUAGGUUAUACACCAAAGUGUGUGAGUGUUAGGCCCCUGAAUCUGAAUCUACAUCUGGAAGUGGGAAGAAAGAAAUUUUAACUGUGAAACAAGUUUGAAUUUUCGUUAUUUACAUGAAUUGCAAAAACAAGUCAUUUAUAUGUAAAGGUGAUAAAAGAUUUUAUUUUUAUUUUUUGUUUUAUGAAAUCAACCCUCCUAUCCGAAGUAACAGAAAUACUCUAUUCAGAGUCAUGGAAAAAACAGAGUGGGCUGUUGGAAUUGGAAAGAAACAAACAAAAAGCAGAUCAGCAAGUUUUCAUAUUGCACUAUUUUCAACGGCUGGAGCAUCAACAUUUUACAACAAGAAAAAAAUUAAAAUUCUUCAACAUUUGGAAAAGAAGUGCUUGUAAAACUUUUCACAUCCAUUCACCAUCUGGAAAAGCAAGGUUUUACAGUGAGGCCUGAUGAUGUCUAGAGUCACCAUGCAUCUUGGAAAAUGACCUCCUAUUUAAGUUAUUUCCUCUACAGGACACCAUGGUGUUCACCUUUCUACAACUUUACACUUGCUGAGGACAUAUUGUGGAAAAUUAAGAGAAAUAUAUAUGGAUGGCCAAGGCUGUAGAUGGAUGUCCAAGCCUUUUUACUGGGGAAUGUUUUCAGAACAAAAUGAGUUACAGGUUCAAGAGUGAAACCCAACAAAUCUUGGCUCUUUUUUUCUCUACUAAAUUCCAAAUCAAAAGUAUUUAUGGAGUGCUUUUAAUGUGCCAAGCACUGGGCUAGAGAUUCAUAAUUUUGAUGGGAAUCUGUGUAUUCGCACUCUUUUAACGUGGAAACCUUGCUUGUGCAAGGUCCUCCCAGAUCUUAUCCUACUUUAUCAAAGCUUGGCUAAAUGCAACAUGUCUUCUCCCCAGUGCCCUGGGUCUCUGUACACGCAGCAAAGUGGUCCUUAGACAUAUGCUGAAAUAGUGCUUAAUUUUCCCCAUAUACGAAUGAGAUAAAUUCUACUACAUGUAGCCAGACUUCGAUAGGGAGAACACCCAAAAUCACUUAAAAUAAAACUACACUUUCAUUUUUGCAAGCCAAAUAAUCCUGGAGGAAAUUGUGCUAAUUAUUUUUUUUUAAUUUUCAGUUUACACGUUGGAGUUUUGACUUCAAUACAUAAAAAGUGCAUGAAAACGAA